CCCCCCGCUACUUUUUAGUAGCCUACCGAAGCGCUAACAACUUGGAGUUAUUGGGACAUCAAUUAUGAACUUUGUUGAAAGAAACCACAUUUGCAGUGGACCUGGGAUGCGUGGAAUUGCCAAUGGAUGAAGAGAAUCAAAGACUCGGGAAAGGCGAAGGUCGAGAGCCAUGCGUCCUCCAAAACGCAACCCUGCCAAGCCACACUGCUCACUUAACCCGGAAGCCAGCCACGCCAAUGUGUCGGAGAAAACUGUCCAACUGGCGAACGAAGUCAGCUUGCAGGCGCCCGGCCCGCCACAAGGAGUUGCUAGAGCUCGAUGUGACAAGGAAAUAACCUGAAUCAGAUUAAA
rnacentral:lncRNA from 1 species